UCUACCUCUCCGACGCCUCCAUAGCCGGACGCCUCCACCUCCACAGCUCUAAACGCCUCUAUCUCUCUCCCUUCUGCACAGUCAACGGAAACCCUCACCACUCUUCCACCUCUAUACCUCCAUAACCCCUAAACAAACAACGACGAGCCCUCUCUCGUCCUCAACAGUCAGUCACAACGAAAAGCCCUCUCCAUUGUGCGAGGUCUAUUUGUUUUAGGAGUUGAAAAUGGUUAAAGAAGACCGUAAUGCUGUUCCAAAGCAUCCUUGUAAUGGAUGGAUAUAUUUCUUUUGAGAUUCACUUCUGAAGAUGGUAGGAACAACUUGAUUUUGGACUUGAUCCUUUGUGGGGAGAACGUAAUCAGGAAUGAAGUCAUCCGAAAGGCUCAAGAAAAAUACCGCAACACUAGUAGGAUAAUUUGAUACCACGGCGCCUUUGUGGCUUUUGUUGUAAACUUGAUUUCAAUCAUGUUGUAAACUUGAUGAAUGUGAGGUGCCUUUGUGGCUUUUGUUGUAAACUUGAUAUGGCAAAUAAUGCCUUCAAUUUAGAUCAUUCUAUUGUUUGCUGCUAUUGUAAUGGUAACAACUCGUUGUAAUGGUAACAGCUCGUUGUAAUGGUGAUAUAUUUUGGACAGUUUUCUGUUGCUGCUGCUAUUUCUUCUGCAGCAGGUGUUGGGUAAUCUGUUGGAUGGCUGUUUUGCUAUUGAACUGCUGCUGCUGUCCAAGUGUUGUGCUGCUUGCUGCUUUGCUCCUACGGCUGCCUUCUGUUCUGUUAUGACUGUUGUUUGCCAUUGAACUGUUGCUGGCUGCUAUGGUUGGUUUAAGCUAUGUAUUUGCUUUGGUUUAAGCUAUGUAUUUGCUUUGGUUUAA